UACGAAGGGGGCUAGCGUUGCUCGGAAUCACUGGGCGUAAAGGGCGUGUAGGCGGGAAGAUAAGUCGGGCGUGAAAUCCCUGGGCUCAACCCAGGAACUGCACUCGAAACUGUUUUUCUUGAGUAUCGGAGAGGAAAGCGGAAUUCCUGGUGUAGAGGUGAAAUUCGUAGAUAGUCGGGAGGAACACCGGGUGGCGAAGGCGGCGACCUGGGUCGAUACUGACGCUGGAGGUGACGAAAGCGUGGGG
rnacentral:rRNA from 1 species